GACGAACGCUGGCGGGGUGCCUAAUACAUGGAAGUAGAACGCUGAAGAGAGGAGCUUGCUCUUCUUGGAUGAGUUGCGAAAGGGUGAGUAACGGGUAGGUAACCUGCCUUGUAGCGGGGGAUAACUAUUGGAAACGAUAGCUAAUACCGCAUAACAAUGGAUGACACAUGUCAUUUAUUUGAAAGGGGCAAUUGCUCCACUACAAGAUGGACCUGCGUCGUAUUAGCUAGUAGGUGAGGUAAUGGCUCACCUAGGCGACGAUACAUAGCCGACCUGAGAGGGUGAUCGGCCACACUGGGACUGGGACACGGCCCAGACUACUACGGGCGGCAGCAGUAGGGAAUCUUCGGCAACGGGGGCAACCCUGACCGAGCACCGCCGCGUGAGUGAAGAAGGUUUUCGGAUCGUAAAGCUCUGUUGUAAGUCAAGAACGGGUGUGAGAGUGGAAAGUUCACACUGUGACGGUGGCUUACCAGAAAGGGACGGCUAACUACGUG
rnacentral:rRNA from 1 species